AGGAGCCCCAUCCAUCUAUCACACGUGUAGACAAAGGGGGACUCCACAACACAAAGCUAGAUGUGCCCUCUCAAACUUUUUACCACGACGCAUGGUGACGCGCGCUCAGCACAGCACCCACAGAUUCCUCUGUGAUCUGUACGCUGGAUUUUAACACCAGAUUAACCAGCAGUGGGCUUUUCUCCUGUGGGAGGUUGAGGAUGCAUUAUUUGGAAAUCACAUGGGAGAUGUACCGAGUCACCUAUCGAGCAGCUUUGGAGACGCGGAGGAGGAUUAGGAGACUGCGCAGCUUUUCUUUUGGAGAAGGUGAAGACUCAUCUCAGAAGGAUUUAAACCGCAGCAGCAGCAGCAGCGCCAGGCGGGAUGUGUUCUAGGCACACUUGGAAAUCUAAAACUCAUGGAGACACUUUGAGGAUUAUAAAAAUGUGGAGUGUGUCUCUCCUCAAGACACGUCCCCAAGCCCCAAGUUACUGAGAAAGAGGGAUAUGAUCCUCCUCGGCCCUCUGCAUGGGGAGAGUGGGAGUGGUGAGGUCUGGGAGAUCACGACCUUAAUUCUCUCCAAGACAGACGGUUUAAUUAACACUGGAGGAAUCCUCACCGGCUCCAGACCUCUACAAAGGGAAUGUGCAGGGGAAUUGGAUUGCCAAGGCCCCCUUCUCUGUAGUCCACAUUGCGGGAAGACCACCUUACAGGGAUUUUCCCCUUCAGCAGGUGAUUCAGACAGAGUCAGAAGGGAAGUUCACCUGGUCUAGACAGGACUGUCAGGAUCUGCAAAGAAAGCAUCAUAGAAAUUGAAAAUGAAGAUUAAGAGGAGACUGGCUUGUAGGAGAAAUCCUAUCUAAACGUGGAGGAAAUUCACCUUUCCGGUGCUUGUUUAGGAGAUUAAUUGUUUUUAUUGAUUGUUUUUAUGUAAUUUUUGUCAGAUACAAGGUCCAAACUAAUUGUUUGUCAUCUCUACCACUGUGCAACUGCUUCAAAUAGUGAAUACUCAAGUGUUUAAUUUGAAAUAUAUUACAACAUUUGGUGACUUCUCAGUCUAAAUUACAAGCUAAAUAUGCAAUCACCAAGGGCUCUGAUGUUACUUUUGAACAGUAUUAAUAAAGUUUAAAAAAAUGUCAUCAUGCAUUCCCUCAUUUUUUAAGUGAUGUGUGGUAAGAAUCCUUACAACGCUUGCUGAAAAAUUAGCUUAUAUUUGUCCAAAUAAUGUAAGUUAGGCUCCACAAUAAUGACAGUUAUUUUACAUUUGGAACCACCACUUUCUUUAUAAGACGAGUGACUGAAAAACCUGGUUCUCGAUCAUGUUCACUAAUACAUGAAAGCUUGCUGUUUAUUCGCUGUGAGCAUUUUGUUCAACCGCCCUGCAUCCACUUCUUCCUGCCUCUUAGACUUGAAACAACAUGUGGUCAGCAUAACAUAUACAUCUAUGAAUUCACAUUGUUGCACAGCUUAACAACUCUUCUGUCAUGUUAGGACACAUAUUCAUGUAUGGCCACUGUGUCUGUGAAGAUGUAAUGAUCCCAGUCUGGUCACAGGGGAACACAGACAACAUUGAGAACAUGUUCUCAUACAAUAUGCAAAAACUCUGUGGAGGAAUAUUCCCACACUGUAGUGCUCUCAUGUGACAAAGUAUGUACAGUGUUUCACGUAUAUCAUUGCAACAUAGAUUAUUAAUGAAUACUUUACUGUUCUGUGAAAAUAAAGGCAAUGUAUUGUUGAAUAAAGAGAAUCAAUGGUUACUUAACAUACUCAUGAAAACAUGGGACCACACUUGUCACUGGAGAAUCUCCCAGCAGAAUCAUUCAGUGAAUAGAGUUCCUUUUCUUUCCACACCCGAGCUUUAAAGCUCUUUAAGUAGCUUAGAGUUGAGUGGGGUUUUUUUGCAGGGUACUUUGGUCGAAAUGCUAGUGGUGACUUGAGUGUCUCUUAACCACACACCAUGUCUACUUUGGCUCUGAAAAAAGGCAGAGUGUUUCAGAAGCUCAUACAUUCAGCAAAACACUAUAAAUAACCUGCAGAAGGAUAAAACUCACACAAGAUCAUGAAAUCAUUUUACAAAAGGAACCUUUAACAUCAACGAUUCAAGCAUUGCCACCAAAAACACAAAGUCCAUGUACAUUGUGUAAAAUACAUUGUCGGCAAAAUGUUUGGUGGUGGAUUUUGAAGAGUGUUCUUCGUCUUGUUUGCAUCCUACAUGUUUUCACUGACUCUCAAAGACAACUGUAUUGGACUGGUAUUGUUCUGAACCUAACUGACUGAUCCCGUGUCUGACAGUGAUACUCUUCAGAUGCUGACUUCAGAAGUCCAAGCUUCCACAAUCCAGAGGAGUCAAGGCUAAAUAUAUAAAACUAACAAGUGAACAAUACUUAGUUAAAAAGCUUGUGAUUAUUUCACACCCUGUUGCAACAACUAUAUUUAUGCAGCUGUGGGCAAAAGUGAGGGCUAACCUGAUCUUGGGAAUCAGGCACUUUGCAUGACUUGCACAAUUAAAGGCACAUUAUCCAUUUUGAUCACAGAGGCAUUAACAACCACUAGCUGUUCAAUUUGUAGAUCCUUGCGUGUAGACAUUUGCCUCUACGUGUUAAACAUUUACAAAUGAUGACGAAGGAGAAAUGCUCUGUCGGCUGUACACAAGUAAUAAAAUGAUGUGAAUAAUUGAACAUGAUGUUUUGACUUUUCAACUACCUUGAAAGAGGUCAAAGCAACAGAGAAAAACAUAUCUGAUAAAGUUAAUGACUUCUGAAGUGUCCUUUGACAAUCAUUUGAUUGGUGCAUUGUUGUUCUUCACGAGUCCAGUUAAGUCUGUAGCAACCUUCUAAAACAUCUCAUAAGUCAUCUACUAUGAUGUUGUUUUCUUUUCCACAUAAAAAUUCUAAAUUAUCUUUUUAAUAAAAUACCUUAUCUUUAUUAAAAGUCUCCCUUUACAUUAUAUACUUGACUGUAUUUGCCCUUAGUCUCUCAUUACAGCCCCUUCUCCUAAAUCCAUUUUGUUUGUACAAUGUUUUGUCUCUAUUUAUGUUUUUUCUUUUAUCGUUUUUUUAAGUCGCUGUAAGGCACUGUGAUUCCUUUUGAUGUUUUGGUAAAUAAGAGAUUUGCAUCACUUAUUGUACCAAACGACACGGUACAGUAAUCAGUCUAAUAAUUGUCAGGACUUCUGAAUGAGAACAACAAGUGUCACCUUGUGUAUGUUGGAGAGCUAGAGGACUGAUUUAGUUCAGGUUCAUUAUUAAGGAGCUGUGAUCAUGCAAAUGUUCAUGCCCAGUCAUGUUUUACACUUUCUACUUGUUCUACUGUAUAAGUGGUUUGAAUUCAAAAUUCUUUAAGGACCAUGAAUAUUUAUGGUAGUUCAUCAAACAACUGUCUUAGGAUUUACUAAAACUCAAAAAAGAGAAAAGUCACUGCUAGUGUGGCUACAGAACAGUUUAACAUGUGUAAGUGUGAAAACAUAUUUUCAUGUGAUGUGGAAUAUCCAGAAAUAGAAGCACUCGGUUAUUUAUUUUUUUACACGUCUGCAAUAAACAGUUGUGAGGCCUCCCUCCAUAUCUCUGUGUGGUUACUAACCCCAGCUACAGCAGUCAGACAUGGGCCCCCUAUGUUUCCCAAGGACGGUUUAUCACACUUCCUCUGCCUCUGCUCGGGGCCCCCAGUCAGUCUGCCAGACAGGGAAAUCAAAGGCUGUGGGACAUACCAUUACAGUCCAAAUGGUAUAUUACACUGCACAGCCAUGUUUAUGAUAUACAACCUUUAAGAGGCACACGUACACAGAAAACAGGGAGGAGGUCUCUGCUGAGUUUGACUUUCAAAGAUCUCCAAAGUGAACAGAACUAUUGGAACUACACAUUGGCUUGAUUUAAAAGUCAGAAUUAAUGAUGGCCUACAUGCAUGUCUGUAAAUGUUAUCUCAUUGGAACUGUAUGGAGUGAAAUAAUAACCAAUAAAGUAUUUUUUUAUGCAUUCUA